GAUGGAGUCUUGCUCUGUUGCCCAGGCUGGAGUGCAGUGGUGCGAUCUCGGCUCACUGCAAGCUCUGCCUCCUGGAUUCACGCCAUUCUCCUGCCUUAGCCUCCUGAGUACCUGGGACUACAGGCACCCACCACCACGCCCAGCUAAUUUUUUGUAUUUUUAGUAGAGACGGGGUUUCACCGUGUUAGACAGGAUGGUCUCGAUCUCCUGACCUCAUGAUCUGCCCGCCUCGGCUUCCCAAAAUGCUGGGAUUACAGGCAUGAGCCACCGCGCCCGGCCUUUUCAGUUUUUAUUAUUUUCUACAGUCUGGACCAAAUUCUAUUUUUUCUUGGUUACAAGUCUUCAAGAUAAUGUUUUCAAUUUUUUUCCUUCUUUUUUCCCCCAUUUUUCCUAAUUAGGAGUCAUUGAAAACUAAGCGUGCUUUCAUAAAGCCCUGUGAACUGAAGUCAGACAACUUAAACUUUAGAAGAAAAUAACAGCAACCCAUUUACAUACAUAAACCACUUUCAAACCUGCCUACUGAUUAUGGACUUCAGAGUAAUAUGGCUUAUACCAAUUUUCCAGGAUUGUUCUUUUGUUUGUUGUUGUUGUUUGUUUGUUUUUUGUUUUUUUGAGACGGAGUUUCACUCUGCCGCCCAGACUGGAGUGCAGUGGCGCAAUCUCAGCUCACUGCUGCCUCUGCUCCUGGGUUCAAGCAAUUCUCCUGCCUCAGCCUCCUGAGUAACUAGGACUACUAGUUACUAGUUAGUUGUCGUAAUUACUAAUGCCCGGCUAAUUUUUUGUGUUUUUAAUAGAGACAGGGUUUCACCAUGUUGUCCAGGCUGGUGUUGAACUCCUGACCUCAGAUGAUCUGCCCGCCUCGGCCUCCCAAAGUGCUGGUAUUACAGGCGUGAGCUACCACACCCAGCCUGUUGUUGUUUUUCUCCCUAUUUUCACUUCCUAGGAUGUGAAACUUCACAACCUGCUAAAAAUGAACUUUCCUAAUAAUUCAGGACCUAACCAUCUAGAAAUAAACCAACCGAGCCAUAAGAGAUCAGACGAAACCUGAGACCAGAGACUCAUUUUCUUCUGAAAUGCUUUCUCCAAAAGAUUUUUAAAAAGAAAAGGGGGGGAAUGUGAAAGGAAAUAAAUCUUGGGACCCCAAAAUCACUAAGCUAAAGGGAGAAGUCAAGCUGGGAACUGCUUAGGGCAAACCUACCUCCCAUUCUAUUCAAAGUCACCCUUCUGCUCACCGAGAUGAAUGCAUAUCUGAUUCCCUCCUUUGGAGAGGCUCAUCAGAAACUCAAAAGAAUGCAACCAUUUGUCUCUUAUCUACCUAGGAUCUGGAAGCCCCCUCACCACUUCAAGUUGUCCCACUUUUUCUUCGAGUUGUUGUCCCCGCUUUCUGGACCAAACCAAUGUUCAUCCUACAUAUGAUGAUUGAUGUCUCAUGCCUCCCUAAAAUGUAUAAAACCAAACUGCACUCUGACCACCUUGGGCACAUGUCAUCAGGACCUCCUGAGGCUGUGUCAUGGGUACAUGUCCUCAACCUUGGCAAAAUAAAAUUUCUAAAUUAACCGAGAC
rnacentral:lncRNA from 1 species